ensembl:ncRNA lncRNA:CR46214 long non-coding RNA:CR46214
CGAAGUGCAAAGUCAUAUUGACAAUCGCCGGCCGCUCGAGCUGCAGAGUGCAUAAAGUCAGCCCUGCAGAUACAGAUACAGAGUCGUUGCACUUUUUAAAGUGUCGCACUCGAGCCUGAAAAAAAAAACACCUAAUAAGAAGUUGACUGAGACUGAGACUUUCGUCUUCAUUUGAACGCCAGAGUCGGAUUAACGCUUAGAACAGUCGGAGUUACAGUGGCACAAUUGUGCCCCAUUCCAACCACUGUGCUGCAUUGUGCAAAAUGGCGAAGAGUCUGACAUUGACAUGCUUGCAUGCUCCUGACUGAAGACAGAAGCUCCAACACCAGGGGAUGAGCAGAUGCCCCUCGUAAAGAACCGGGUGCAGCAGGGAUCAAGCUCAUGCCCCGCGUGGGCGAUGUCUGUGCGAGAUUCGAACUGAGACCGGGAUGGAAUAUGGAGGCUUCUUUGCUGGGGCCCUGGCCAAGCUCUAUUAAUAUCCGACUUCCUACAAUUUGGUGAAUGCGUAAAUUGUAUGUGAAAGGAAAGCGACUUUAAUGCGUCAUAAUUGAUUCACAAUGCGGAGGGCAAGGCGAUGGCUUGAUUUGAUUAACGCAGAAUGUAGCUCACGGAUACAUGCUCCCAUCUAUGUAGCUAUACACCGUAUAUAUUUAUAACGUAUAGACCACACACCCACUGCAAUUGCAGCUUGACUUACUGCCAAAUUAUUGAUUUUCGUGGCAUCUGCAGUGAGUUCAUGCCGCCAGUAAAUGUGUAUCUUUGUGGGCGGUUGACUUUGCCAUCGCUUUGGUGGAAGCCCUUCAAAGUUCUUUUUGCCUUAUUUUUCCAUCACAAUUAUCCGCUUAAAAUGCCAAAGCGGGCCAAAGCAGCAAUGGGCAAAGUAUCUUUAAGAUGCAAUUCAGUUUCGGGGGGGAAACUCGAGCCGGUUCGACAUAAUUGAACGCUGUCGCCGCGGACCCUCGAAAAUAAAUUUUCAAUUAAACGCCCAUCAAUGAUCCGACAGUUAGCUCGUACACAAUUGGUUUAUCUCACAGAUACGAAGAUGCUGCCGCGCUCUAAUGAAGAUGAUGCAGCGCAUUUUGUAGGCUGCACGAGUUGAAAUUAAGACAAAGUCAAGCGAGUCGCAGCCAGAUGGACAAAUGACCAGGAGAUGGGAGAAGUAUCUGACUGAUUCCUCGACAGCUGCCACGAAUCGAAAGGAGAAACUAUAAAAAUGAGGAAAACUAAGAGCGCGUGCCAAUGAACUCUGUGGUCAAAAGGAAAAGAAACCGAGUCAGAUACAUUUAAUAACUGACCGAUGCUUGGGGAUUGCACCGCCAAUGAUACUUAUGUUACCAAAUGCUAUAUUGUCUAUACCUCUAAUUUCCAAUAAGUGUCUCCUGAAAAAGCACAGAUGAAAAUGCAAUUUCUAUUUCGACAGUUUCCUGCAGUUUCUCAGUUUCUUGAGUCUCGAGGGAAAAUCAAUUCUUGAUUCGACAGCUGUCGCUGGAAAUUGAUCUGCUGCUGCAGCGAAAAGCUACAAAAGUAUCUCGUGGAUUCACAUUUGCAUCGCACUUUGUGUAGAGGGGGGGAUGUGAACCGAACCCAAGCCGAGUCAUUCAUUUGAUUGCCAACUCAUAUUUCCAAGGCGAGAGGGAUAAAAACGGAUAAGCUCGGUUCCUUUUUUUUUUUAUCACUUUUUCUUGGUUGGUGGUCCUCGCGAGUGUUUAAUUAAAGUUCUUCUCGCUGCGUGGGUGGCUGUUUUUUCUUCUCUGAUUUUUACUUGUAUUCUGAUAUUUAUAUUGCGCUGAAACCAUUUCCUUUCUGGACUUUGAGAAUCCAGCUUCAAUUUGAAUUUUCAUUUCGGAUGUGCGGCAAGUUCGAGGGGAAAAGCAACCGUUGUGAGCGCAUUUAAAUGUUAAUUUUGUUUGGCUACACGUGCACAAAAAAUAAAGUAAGUAAUACGACGGAGCUUAGAGUGCCAUGGUAGUCGAACACGCGAUACCCUGCUUUCACUUAAUCAUCUUGCUUAGCAGUUUAUCUUUCUGUAGGCCCAAUUAUAUUAAAUCAUGUUCUUAUAUGGUUUAGAUCCAGAGAUCGUUGGGAACUCUGUGUGUAACUUAUGUACAUUUAGCCAAAUCCAAUAUGCUCUUGGGUCGAAUGCGUAUACAAAUAAUAACAACUGAGGCCGACAAAGCUCCAAGAAUAUAGUGUUGAAUGUCAUUAGCGCUCUGUCGCCCAUGGGCACACUCUGUCCUGAGUUGGGGGAGUGAAAUCCAGUUAAGUCGAGAAAUAAAACCAAACAAAAAGUGGUCAUGGGAGCAGCAUGAUAGCAGAAGGGCGGGGUGGGGCCAAACACAUCCGUAAGUGGCCAAGUUGAUGACCGGAAACGGCAACAGUUAUACAUGUGAAGAAACACCUGAGGCUCGGCGAAGUAAACGUAGAACGAAUGUGGAAAACCGGGGAAAAGCUGGAAGUCUGGAGGGUUAGGGAAAAAAAGGCGGUACCUUUUCUAGCUCUUGGCGGAAUUGAUUGUCCACCCACACCGUGUCUCACAAUUGACGCAGCUGGGCACAGCUGCACUUUUCAAGCUGCCUCUCAAGUUCACGGCGAAAAAUUGGCAAUUCAAGCGCAAAGCUGUCAACUGUGAAAGGAAAAAACGAUGGAGAUAGCAAUGAUUUGAGAUGGUUUCACUGGGACGAGCAUACACGUGUAUUUUAAAGGGUUUGGUAUGCUAAAAUGUAUCUUAUUUUAGUAUCUUAUUUUAUUUUAAAUAAACAACAACAUAAAGAUAGAUAUAAUGCUGUCUUCUAGCAUUAUGAGUAAAGAAUAGAACUUAUGAUAUAAGAACCCUUAUUACGUUUGCUAAUACAAUACAACAAUUUGUGAAUAUCGUAAAAUAGUAAGAUGAAUUAAAUAUCUUACGAAUUACAAAUUUUUUCCCGUGUAAACUGGGCAUUUUAGCAAAUGGUUAGCAACAUGCGCAGAUAUCUUUUAGUUUCGUUGCAAAUCGCUGCAGAUGCGGCGUUUAAAAAUAGCCAACGUGUCACCAGCCGAGCAGUGAGUGCAGCAAAAGGGCAUGAAUAACUGAGUGCAACUGCAUCAAUGCGGCAAUGAGGCAGAUCCGAAUGCAACUGACAGGGC